GGGCCUUUAGCUCAGCUGGGAGAGCGCCUCCAUGGCAUGGAGGAGGUCGUGGGUUCGAGCCCCAUAAGGUCCACCA
rnacentral:tRNA from 2 species